rnacentral:rRNA from 1 species
UACGUAGGGUGCAAGCGUUAAUCGGAAUUACUGGGCGUAAAGCGUGCGCAGGCGGUGAUGUAAGACAGAUGUGAAAUCCCCGGGCUCAACCUGGGAACUGCAUUUGUGACUGCAUCGCUAGAGUACGGCAGAGGGGGAUGGAAUUCCGCGUGUAGCAGUGAAAUGCGUAGAUAUCAGGAGGAAUACCGAUGGCGAAGGCAGGUCUCUGGGCUGACACUGACGCUCAUGCACGAAAGCGUGGGGAGCAAACAGG